CCCCUUAAUAACAGAAUACAUAACAGAUGUAAGGCUGCAUACACAGAGUCAUCCCAGCUGCUACUUAAAGCUGGGACCAGGAACAGAGCAGCAACUGCUGGAACCAUCAUCCCCCGUGGCUGGCAUAAUGUGGCAUCCUGGUUGCCUGGCAAUGACUCGGACCCUCUGUAGUGGAAAGCCACAGUGAUGGCUUAUAACAGACUCAGAGUGAGAAGGGCUUGAAUCAUCAUGAAAGGCAGAUGAAGAUGCCUCACUGACAGUUUCAGAAACACCACGUGUAAAUAAAGAUCAAGGCUUUCACUUAAACCUAAGAUCAAGUACAGCAGCACCCCUCGAAUUAUACGACACCCCUGGGCUUAUAAAGCAUAGGCAGCCCUCUUGGAGAAUUACACAGCACAGCAAACAGGCAACAGCACCCCUGGAUUUAAAUGGAAGUUGGACAGCACCCCUGGACUGAUGGGGAAGAGGGGCAGCACCCCUGAAAUGAUGUGGCAAAGAAAAGACAUGCAAGAUGGAAGUGUCCUUAUGUUGUAUAAACAGGACAUGCACACUUUAACAAACCAAUCAUUUCAGCGACAAGGUCUGCCACAUGACUGUGGCUGAAAUGAUUGCUUUGCUUGGCCCCCACCAAAAAAAAGCAAUUAAACUCACCUUGCACAAACAGGGCUCUACAGUGGUAAUAUGUCGUCCCCAUCCUCAGAUCCCCCCCUUCAGUGUUUACAUCCUCAUCCUCACAGAGAAAUAAUAUUCAAACAAAACCAUAUCAUUUAGGUGUCAGUGGACUGCUUACACUAUUACCCAAAGUUUCUGAACUUGACAAUAACUUAUGAUGAAUGCGCUGCAGGUGACGUAUAAGGGAGGAUGGACUUAGGUGGUUAAUGUCCUUACCCCUACUUAUUAUGGAUUGACAAAGGCAACAGAUGGCUUUACACCUGUUGUCUGGAUUUGUGGAGAAAUAAUUCCACACCGAAAAGGUAGCUUUUUUAGUAUUUUGCCCAGGCAUGACAAUGAGCUUUUUCAUCCCAUGGCCAACAACUGUCUCCACUGGUGCCUUAUUCAAACAAACCACAUCACCAUCAGAAUUCUCAUCGUUAACUUCCUCCGCAGCACCAGCUAUACCCAUAUCCUCCUCAUCCUGGUGUACUUCUAGGGUGACAUCCUCAAUUUCAACACCAGCAACUGGACUGGCGGUGCUCCUCCCAGCACUUGCAGAGGGUGUGCAAAUGGUGGUAGGAGCCUUCUCUUCCCAUACAGUCUUGUGAAGGUCAGGCCUAGACAUCGCAACCACGGACAGUGUCAGCACUCCUGUAUUUUCACAACACCCGUGUAAUAAAAAAGCAUACAAGACAAGGCCCGUGUACAUUUAUUUUCACUGCAUCCCUGUAUUUUACAGCAUACAGGGCCAGUGUACUUUUAUUUUAACAGCAGCACCCCUGU